AGGGCUUAGCUGCUUGUGAGCAGGG
rnacentral:miRNA from 1 species